ACAAUGGCCGGAUAUAGAGGGCAGCGAAGCCGCGAGGUGGAGCGAAUCCCAGAAAGCCGGUCUCAGUUCGGAUUGCAGGCUGCAACUCGCCUGCAUGAAGUCGGAAUCGCUAGUAAACGCAGAUCAGCAUGCUGCGUUGAAUACGUUCCCGGGCCUUGUACACACCGCCCGUCACACCACGAAAGUUUGUUCAACCCGAAGUCGGUGAGCUAACCCUUAUGGGAGGCAGCUGCCUAAGGUGGGGCAAAUGAUUGGGGUGAAGUCGUAACAAG
rnacentral:rRNA from 1 species